rnacentral:rRNA from 1 species
GGAUAACAUACCGAAAGGUAUGCUAAUACGGGAUAAUAUAUUUGAGAGGCAUCUCUUAAAUAUCAAAGGUGAGCCAGUACAGGAUGGACCCGCGUCUGAUUAGCUAGUUGGUAAGGUAACGGCUUACCAAGGCGACGAUCAGUAGCCGACCUGAGAGGGUGAUCGGCCACAUUGGAACUGAGACACGGUCCAAACUCCUACGGGAGGCAGCAGUGGGGAAUAUUGCACAAUGGGCGAAAGCCUGAUGCAGCAACGCCGCGUGAGUGAUGAAGGCCUUCGGGUCGUAAAACUCUGUCCUCAAGGAAGAUAAUGACGGUACUUGAGGAGGAAGCCCCGGCUAACUACGUGCCAGCAGCCGCGGUAAUACGUAGGGGGCUAGCGUUAUCCGGAUUUACUGGGCGUAAAGGGUGCGUAGGCGGUCUUUCAAGUCAGGAGUGAAAGGCUACGGCUCAACCGUAGUAAGCUCUUGAAACUGGGAGACUUGAGUGCAGGAGAGGAGAGUGGAAUUCCUAGUGUAGCGGUGAAAUGCGUAGAUAUUAGGAGGAACACCAGUUGCGAAGGCGGCUCUCUGGACUGUAACUGACGCUGAGGCACGAAAGCGUGGGGAGCAAACAGGAUUAGAUACCCUGGUAGUCCACGCUGUAAACGAUGAGUACUAGGUGUCGGGGGUUACCCCCUUCGGUGCCGCA